GCUCGUAGUUGGAUUUGUGGUGUACUUCGGCGGCCCGUCACUAUGUGAUGGAGCUUGCUGAAGUCGCCAUCCUUGGGUGGAUCCUGUGUGGCAUUAAGUUGUCGUGCAGGGGAUGCCCAUCGUUUACUGUGAAAAAAUUAGAGUGUUCAAAGCAGGCUUAUGCCGUUGAAUAUAUUAGCAUGGAAUAAUAAGAUAGGACCUUGGUACUAUUUUGUUGGUUUGCGCACCAAGGUAAUGAUUAAUAGGGACAGUUGGGGGUAUUCGUAUUUCAUUGUCAGAGGUGAAAUUCUUGGAUUUUUGAAAGACGAACUACUGCGAAAGCAUUUACC
rnacentral:rRNA from 1 species